GAUGAACGCUGGCGGCGUGCCUAAUACAUGCAAGUCGUACGGAAAGGCCCUUCGGGGUACUCGAGUGGCGGACGGCUGAGUAACGCGUGGGAACGUGCCCCAAAGUGAGGGAUAACGCACCGAAAGGUGUGCUAAUACCGCAUAUGGUCUUCGGAUUAAAGCUUCGGCGCUUUGGGAGCGGCCCGCGUACGAUUAGAUAGUUGGUGAGGUAAUGGCUCACCAAGUCAACGAUCGUUAGCUGGUCUGAGAGGAUGAUCAGCCAGACUGGGUCUGAGACGCGGCCCAGACUCCUACGGGAGGCAGCAGUAAGGAAUCUUCCACAAUGGGGGCAACCCUGAUGGAGCAACGCCGCGUGCAGGAUGAAGGUUUUCGGAUCGUAAACUGCUUUUAUAAGUGAAGAAUAUGACGGUAACUUAUGAAUAAGGAUCGGCUAACUACGUGCCAGCCGCCGCCGUAA
rnacentral:rRNA from 1 species